GCUGGACCCUUCAUCCAAUACGGCUAUCAUCCCAAUCAGCAGCUCAAAAAAGAGCAAGGAAAAAGGUGGCCCGUGGGCAACAGGAGCAGACGAGAUCUCUGCAGCUGCAAACCCAGGAACAGCUGAGGCGGAUGGCCACCACCAGGAGCUAGUUGUCCUGGCCAGUGUCAGGUGGAGGCCUGCCUUGAUGACUUUGAUUUUGGACCUCUAGCUUGUGGAGUUUCUGGAGAAGACACUUCUCUGGUUUUAACCUGUCCAGUUGUGGUACAGAAGCUCUAGGAAGCAAACAGCAGGAGGAAUCUACAUUUCCUCCUGGGGACGGUUGGCCGGAGCCCAGGACACCGGUGGGGGUCAGGGUGAGCCUCCAUCCACAAGAUGUUGCUCCUCCCUCCUGAGAUGCUGAUACGUCAGCGGCCACUGAGGAAGCCGAGAGCCCAGGGGUCAAGUAACUGCGGAAGCCAGAUGAUGAAUGCCCACUCAGUCUGGGCUCUAACGGGAAGCAUAAAAGGGCGUCCUGUCUUUUCUCUUGUUGGUGAAUGACCCUUGCCUUUCAUGUGUGCCGGAGGGGAAAGAAGGAGUCCAGAAAGCUGGAGUAACAAAGAGGCUCGGAGAAACAUUGCUGCCAAAACAAGCUUAACGCAGCACACCUACCUGAAGUGGCCUUCCUCGGCAGUGGAAGAGGUCGAACAUAAAAUACACAAAACCCGGAAUAAAUAUGUCAGCAGGAAGAAA